rnacentral:rRNA from 1 species
AUUGAACGCUGGCGGCAUGCUUUACACAUGCAAGUCGAACGGCAGCGCGGGCUUCGGCCUGGCGGCGAGUGGCGAACGGGUGAGUAAUGCAUCGGAACGUGCCCAGUAGUGGGGGAUAGCCCGGCGAAAGCCGGAUUAAUACCGCAUACGACCUGAGGGUGAAAGCGGGGGACCGAAAGGCCUCGCGCUAUUGGAGCGGCCGAUGUCGGAUUAGCUAGUUGGUGGGGUAAAGGCUUACCAAGGCGACGAUCCGUAGCUGGUCUGAGAGGACGACCAGCCACACUGGGACUGAGACACGGCCCAGACUCCUACGGGAGGCAGCAGUGGGGAAUUUUGGACAAUGGGGGCAACCCUGAGCCAGCCAGGCCGCGUGCGGGAAGAAGGCCUUCGGGUUGUAAACCGCUUUUGUUCGGGAAGAAAUCCUCUGGGCUAAUACCCCGGGGGGAUGACGGUACCGGAAGAAUAAGCACCGGCUAACUACGU